rnacentral:rRNA from 1 species
CCUACGGGAGGCAGCAGUGGGGAAUUUUGGACAAUGGGCGCAAGCCUGAUCCAGCCAUGCCGCGUGUGGGAAGAAGGCCUUCGGGUUGUAAACCACUUUUGUCAGGGAAGAAACGGCCUUUACUAAUAUUAGGGGCUAAUGACGGUACCUGAAGAAUAAGCACCGGCUAACUACGUGCCAGCAGCCGCGGUAAUACGUAGGGUGCAAGCGUUAAUCGGAAUUACUGGGCGUAAAGCGUGCGCAGGCGGCUUUGCAAGACAGAUGUGAAAUCCCCGGGCUCAACCUGGGAACUGCAUUUGUGACUGCAUGGCUAGAGUACGGUAGAGGGGGAUGGAAUUCCGCGUGUAGCAGUGAAAUGCGUAGAUAUGCGGAGGAACACCGAUGGCGAAGGCAAUCCCCUGGACCUGUACUGACGCUCAUGCACGAAAGCGUGGGGAGCAAACAGGAUUAGAUACCCUGGUAGUCCACGCCCUAAACGAUGUCAACUGGUUGUUGGACGGCUUGCUGUUCAGUAACGAAGCUAACGCGUGAAGUUGACCGCCUGGGGAGUACGGCCGCAAGGUUGAAACUCAAAGGAUUGACGGCUGAGACGNGCGAGACGACGACGAGGGAGGAGG